rnacentral:rRNA from 1 species
ACACGACUACAUUAGAUACCCGUGUAGUCCCAGCCCUAAACGAUGCGCGUUAGGUGUAUCGGUGACCACGAGUCACCGAGGUGCCGAAGGGAAACCGUGAAACGUGCCGCCUGGGAAGUACGGUCGCAAGGCUGAAACUUAAAGGAAUUGGCGGGGAGCACCACAACGGGUGGAGCCUGCGGUUUAAUUGGACUCAACGCCGGGAAGCUCACCGGAUAAGACAGCGGAAUGAUUGCCGGGCUGAAGACCCUGCAUGACCAGCUG